rnacentral:rRNA from 1 species
GACGAACGCUGGCGGCGUGCCUAAUACAUGCAAGUUGAGCGAUGAAGAUUGGUGCUUGCACCAAUUUGAAGAGCAGCGAACGGGUGAGUAACGCGUGGGGAAUCUGCCUUUGAGCGGGGGACAACAUUUGGAAACGAAUGCUAAUACCGCAUAACAACUUUAAACAUAAGUUUUAAGUUUGAAAGGUGCAAUUGCAUCACUCAAAGAUGAUCCCGCGUUGUAUUAGCUAGUUGGUGAGGUAAAGGCUCACCAAGGCGAUGAUACAUAGCCGACCUGAGAGGGUGAUCGGCCACAUUGGGACUGAGACACGGCCCAAACUCCUACGGGAGGCAGCAGUAGGGAAUCUUCGGCAAUGGACGAAAGUCUGACCGAGCAACGCCGCGGGAGUGAAGAAGGUUUUCGGAUCGUAAAACUCUGUUGGUAGAGAAGAACGUUGGUGAGAGUGGAAAGCUCAUCAAGUGACGGUAACUACCCAGAAAGGGACGGCUAACUACGUG